rnacentral:rRNA from 1 species
UACGAAGGGGCGUAGCGUUGUUCGGAAUUACUGGGCGUAAAGCGCACGUAGGCGGGUCGUUAAGUCAGGGGUGAAAUCCCGGAGCUCAACUCCGGAACUGCCUUUGAUACUGGCGAUCUUGAGAUCGGAAGAGGUGAGUGGAAUUCCCAGUGUAGAGGUGAAAUUCGUAGAUAUUGGGAAGAACACCAGUGGCGAAGGCGGCUCACUGGUCCGAUACUGACGCUGAGGUGCGAAAGCGUGGGGA